GCCUGGGUGGCUCAGUCGGUUAAGCAUCUGACUUCGGCUCAGGUCCGUGAGUUCGAGCCCCGCGUCAGGCU
rfam:Felis catus isolate Cinnamon breed Abyssinian chromosome B3, whole genome shotgun sequence.